GGAGCAAAUCUCAAAAAGACCGUCCCAGUUCGGAUCGCAGGCUGCAACCCGCCUGCGUGAAGUUGGAAUCGCUAGUAAUCGCGGAUCAGAAUGCCGCGGUGAAUACGUUCCCGGGUCUUGUACACACCGCCCGUCACACCAUGGGAGUCGGGAAUGCCCGAAGUCAGUGACCCAACCCAAGGGAGGGAGCUGCCGAAGGCAGGCCUGGUGACUGGGGUGAAGUCGUAACAAGGUACC
rnacentral:rRNA from 1 species